GUUUUCUUGGUUGGGUUUUUUCUUUGCAGAAUAUUCUGCUACUCUGGUUGCUGCUGAUGCUGAUAUAAUUUCUGUCGUGGCGUGUGAUGAAUAGCAUGAACAAUUCUGGGUUGAGAUAAGAGCCAACAGUGUGCUGGAAAGCCUCCUCUAAAUAUGAAUCCCUGUGGUUCUGACUUUCUUGACAGAGAGAUGGCUAAAUUGACGUGCUUGGUACCAUUUACACCGCUGCCAAAGCUGCUGAUCACCAUCGUCUUCUCUCCUCCCAUAGCACCUGCUGGCAAAUCUUCUGGGUUUUUUCCUGUUUACUUGGCUAUUUCUAGUGUAGUGAUAGGAAUAGUUUCCAUUCAUGAAGAAUGUGGUGGGGUAGAGAUGGUUAUAAGGGAUAGGAAGCGGUACACUGGGACUAAGGAGCAAGCACUAAAAUAUGUUUUACAUCCAUGGGAGCUGGCUGUGUGUGGUACCCCACCGAGAGCAUUCCCACUGUGCUCAGCAAAUGGAUGAUGGGGGGGUUUUAUUGCUGUGUUUAAGGCCCUGGCAAAUCUGAGAGGCUCAUCCCAAGUCCAGCUGCUGAGCCUUUGGAAAGCAGGGAUGCAUCUUGGCAGUGUAUCUCACCACGGCAUGGAUAUUUUCCUGGACCAGCCACAGGAAUGGUCACAGUGUCCUCCUCUAAACUCUAGUGUGGAGGAUGGCUAUUGCCACCCACACACUUCCUGCAAUUUCUGCUUAAACACAGUGAUCUUUACUUGCUGCCUGCGGUUGAUGGAUUGGUAUCUUUCAUCCAGAGCACCAUCAAGAGUAAAGAAAAAUUGUAUGGUGAUCAUGGGAAGUCUGACUGGGAAGCGUGUGAUGGAGGCCAUCAAGUUUUAAACUUCAAGGAACCCUUUGAAAUCCCAGGGUUUCCCAUGUGCUGCCUGGUCACUGUUUCCAUCAGCUGUCCCUUCACCAGAUUCCUGGGAAGAUGUCACCUGGCAAUUACAUGCACCACAGGUUCCCCGAGGUUCAUGCUCUUCCUUGCAGAGCCUUGCAAAGCUUCCAGGAUGGUUGGGACUGACUGAAGAGCAGUAGGAGUUGCUUUAUCCUCCUCUUCCUCUCCAGGCUACAUUCCCUGCUAAUACAGGCAGCUCCCUCCUGUGCUGAGGGUAGUUUCCAUGGAGUCAGGAAAUAUGAGAAGCAGAGAAGUGGGAAACUCUGGAUCUGCUAGACAAGCCUCGACUCUCCUUGGGGGCCUGAAUGUGUGCAAAAGCUGUGGGUGGUCUGAAUUUUGGGUGCUUGAGCAGGAGGCUUCGGAUGUUGGUGUGGAUAUCCAAGCUGCUUUGAGAAUACUUUAGGCUGAAUGAGAAGUGAAUUCCCUAAAUCUCUCCCCCAGGGUCUCACUGACUUUCAGCAAAAUCAUCCCUCAGAGGCCACUCAGCAAUCUUCAUUCAUGGAGUUCUCAGUGAUGCUCUGCUGAAGAGUCCCCUUUGAAAAGGUUUUUGUGCUGUAAUCUGCUGGCUGGUUACUCAACUGGUGCAGCUUACAGACCUCCGCUGGUUGUUGCACGUCUUUUAAUUUUUAAGGGUUUAUUUCAGCUCCUUUGUGAAGUGUAAGGAAAUGGAUGAUUAGCAAAAUUCUUCCCAGUAUUUUAGAAGCAUUAGUAAAUGUUGAAUAAAGGGCAAUCACACUGUUGUUUUCAUGGGAACUGUGAAAUAAAGACUGCUAGAUUAGGUGCAAUCCUGAUCUUAAAGUCACAAUUCUUACACAAUGUUUUUUGCACUCUGGUGCAAAAACUCGUAUGUGAGAAUGUGUGCUAGCAAUGAGCCAAGUAAUUCAGCACUGCAGGAAUCCCACCAACUUCAUCUCCAAGCUGGUAAUGAACAUGGGCCUGGACACGUCCAACUGAUGUGUUUGCCUGCAGAAAUUAUCUAUGUGCAGUCAAUGACAGCAGCAUCCUUCAGAUGUUGGGUUUGAUGCAGUGAGCAUACGUGACACUUCUGCUUUGCUUCCUCUUCUUGCUGUGCCCUGGACUCAGCUGUGCUCUCCUUUCUGUAAUCUAGCCAGAGACACCCUGUUCCUGGGAAAAGGCACCCUGGGCCUGGAAAAAGGCGAGCUGGGCUGCUGUGUUGGAGAACUUAUGUCAGCCUCCAGCAGCUAGCUGAUCCCCUGUGCCUUGCUGCUUUUUGCACGGCUUCGGUACCUUGAGCCAGUGUGUUUCCAGCUGGCAGUGGUGUGCCUGAGCAUGGCUGAACAGCAACUGCUUGGAGGACCAGAGCGGUGUGGUUGGAGCAGAGGUGCUUGCUGACGUAGCUGACUAGAUGAACUGGUUGACUGGUUAAACACUGGUGGCAAAAGAACUUGCAAAGCUGCUUUGCAGAAGUGGGUGGGUCUCAGCCACAUCCUCACUGGCUUUGGUAUUUAUCCUCAAGCCUGAUUUCCAUUUUCUGUACACCCCUUGCUUUCUGCUCUCCUUCUUUUUUGGUAGGAGAUGUCAGCCAGUAUGUUGUGGCAGCCUGCCAGAAGUGACUGGAGACAUUUGCUGGAUGAACAAAGCCUAUCCACUCCCUGUCCAGCCUGACAAUGACACAGAAGGCAUGGGGCACCCAGUCACAGUCCUGUUGCUCAUCUUUCAAACUGCAGGAGAUGAAUGGUAAUGUCACCCCAGGACACACCACCCUGGAGGCAUUGCCAUGAGAGUCAUGGCAACAUCUCAGCAGGUGGUUUUCAGGGGAAGAGCACUUAAGGCCAUGGAUGUGAAUGCUCUCUCUUUUCCCAGGCCCUUCAGCGAUUUAUAAUGCUUUCUGUUCAGGUGUAUCUGAAACAGGUAUUACAAGGUACACCGCUCCUGCCGCUCCCUCCUGCAAGGCUGAGGUGCAGGGCAGGUAGUCCCCUCCUCCCUGAGGGGCUUCUUCCAUCUGUGCUUCCUGCACUGUGGGGCUCCAGGCUGUUUGCAGAGAUGGCACAUUGACCAUUUUUGAUGCACAUUGACCAUUUUUGCUUCUUGCUGUACACCAGUGACCCCUGGCUGCUUUCCCACUGAUGUAGCUCACCAUGCCUGUGGGAUGUUGAGGUGGCAGGGGACAGCAGCUGCUGGGGAUGUGGGGGGAACAGCCAGCUGCUGCCUCAGCCCUGCUGCCUGGGGGGAUGCUGGAUGGAGAUGUGGGGGGCAGGAGGGGACAGAUGCCUCCAAGAAGGAGCUGGGCCACCACGCUCACCUUCCUCCAAGCCCAUCUGCCCCUGCUCCUCUGCUGGGGAGGAUUUCAUGCAUGUAAACAAGCACCAGGGAAGUUUAAUCCAGCUGGCUUGGGAGCUGUUAGGCAGGGAAUUGCCACUCCAACCUUUAAUCACCUGAGCAAGUGCCAGGUGGGCCUGAAAAGUUCAGUUUGAAAAUGACAGCAUUGCAGAGAAAGGCAGAGGUUUUGUCCAGCAUUGAUCCUGGCUGGCAGCUCCCUUGUGAGGAAUGGGCUGUGCUGCAUGUGGUCCUUCAGUCUGCUCAGGCCACUGCUGAUGUGCUGGUCUUGGAGGGGCUCCAUCUCUGGCUUGCAGGAAGAGAAGCACUUGUCUGGGCCCUUGUCAGGGGAAAUCCCGAGGCCUCUGAAGCAUGUGGCCAGGUCUACUCCUCUUCCACACUGUCCUACAACAGCAGGAAUAUUGUACAAGGAGGUGACUUAGGCAGUACUGUGAGUUUUCACAGCACAUGGCACACCCUCAACUGAAAAUUUGCAUAAAUACCUUUCCAAGUAACAAGUAUUUUCUAAAUAGAACCAAAAUCACAUGAGAGGCAGGGAGGGGCAUUUACGGGAAAGGCAGGUUUGCUGCAUUUGGAUCUCAUGCAAGAAAUGGGAUUAGUACUGUCCACAGAAGUUAGAGCAUGAAUUUUAAGGGUCUGGUUGAGGAAGUUCCUUAGCACAGAUGGAAUGACCUUGAUGCUUUUGACCUGACAAAGGCAGUUAAUGCCAAGAAUUAAUGCCAGUUUUUGUGUCCACAAGAAGAGACCAUUUGUCCCGAUGACACCUCUUCAGGACACAUCCAAGUGAGCCCAAGGGACCAGAGAGAUCCCCACAUGGUAUAGUGAUGAUUGCUGUUGAAGACUGCAACCAAAACCCAGGAGCCACCCUCUUCUGGAGAAAGAGUUUGAGAGGUAGAGAGGAGGCAGGGGAGAAGUCUCACCAGGUCCAACCCAAAGGAGAUGAGCGGGUUUGAGCUAUGUUUGCACUGUCUGGCCAGGAAGAGAGGGCUCAUCUCUGCCACAAAGCUCUCAGUGUGGUUUGUGCUGAAGUGGGAUCCCACAUCUGGGAUCUACCCAAGAGCUACAUCAUACUGUCUUAGAGAUAGGAAGGCUUCACAAAGGGAAGACUUUGAAUCAGGAGUCCGCUGUGCAUUGCAACAUUUAUCACUGUGAUUCACGUACCUCCAGUGUUACUGCAAAUCCAGGCAAAGUGUGAAAUUAUUCUCUUCUCUUAUCUUUGAGGAAAUGCAACGUGCUCCAACCACACUGACUCUGAAAGUCAGUUCUGCCCUGCUUUGAGCCACAGAAAUUGUCAGGAUUUUUGAAAAAGCUCAACAAACCUCAACACCACAAUCUAGCCAAUUAAUUUUGAAGUGCUUUGGGAAUAACUCGGGAUUUUUUCUCUUCAUCUUAUGCAGUUCCAUAGAAACCCUUGGAGUUCUGCAGGUACGUACUAAGUUAUGAAGGAGCUGGAGGCACUAAGAGAGCUGGAACAUGAUUAACAACUGUCAAAUUACAGGGAACACUUUAAAAUCCCUUAUACCUCUCCCCUCCCCUACUUCAUCCUGGCAACUAGGACAAGAGCCUUUGGCUAGGCUGUCUUUCCCUGAGGCAGUCCCUUCACUUGAAGGAGGAGAUGAUCUGAAACCACAGGCAAGGGGUUCAAAAACGUCAUGACAAAAUCCAAUGACAUGGAAAAAAAGAAGAGAGACUGGGUGAGCUGUAGCACAGAGGAUCAUGUGUAUGCCAUCACCAGAGUCUUCAGACUUUCAUCAUAACCACAGCUUGACUGCCAGGUAAACCACCUGCUUUUGUAUUCACAAUUGCAAAAUGUCUCUGCAGCAGCUCUAGCAAUUGCUCAGAGAGGAAAGAAACACUUUUCUUGCAUCCUUAGUAUAGCAGGUGUUUUUACAAAUUAAAGAAAGAAAGAGAUUAAUUCUGCAUUUUAUUUUGGCCCUUUGCUAUAUCCCUGCUCUGUGUCUGAAAUGUUUUCUUUACCAAAGAAGGAGAAGCAGAGGCAGUCAACUUCUUUACAGACAGUGUUUUUAGGUUUAUCAAUGUUAAGGUUGUUUUCUUGUACACAUUUCAGUAUUGUUUUCUGGUUUAGAUAGCAUGGGAUACUUUGUUGCCCUGCUGUCUUUAGCAGAAAAACUUAAGCAGUUUGUUUCUCACUCCUGUUUGCCAUGGAGGCCUCAAUCCCAGAGAAAACUGUAGAAGAAACUCAGUUAAUCAAAGGUUAAACAAAAUGAAUAAAGUUUGUAUGAUGCCCUGAAGGUUAUUAGACUCAAGGUCUGAGCAGCUGCCAAGGGGAGUGAGUUCCAGGGCAGGAGCAUUCAUCUGAGAAAUUCCAGUUGCUGGAUGUGGAGGGGUUGAACCUGGGAGCUGCAGGCGCCUCCCAGCUGAGCUCGGCUGCCAUGGCUGCAUGUGGGUAGGACCCCUGUCCCCUCCCACACUCCCGGUCCAGACAGCAAAUUGAUGGGAGGGCCUGUCCCACUCUGUGGGAGGGCAAUAGGGGCCUGCCAAUUGUUCCAGAUGCCUGGCUGCUUCCAUUGACAGUAUGGAGAGGGCAGGGAGCUCUAAAAUCACAAAGAGAGGCAAUUCCUAGGUGUCAGGGCUGAUAAAAGGGCUCAUGGAGCUACAAGAAAAGUCUGGAAGUGGCACAGAGUCAAGGGAUGCAGCAAGCAGUGCAGUGUGACCAGUGGUCAGCUUUGUGUCCUCUGAGCUGCUCUCUACCCACACAUCCUCCCUAUCAGAGUGAUGCUCUGGAAUGGCAGCUGGUUUAUAUUCCUCUUCAGUCCAGCUUGGAGGAAGAAUUGAAAUCACAGGGUAUGGAUGCAAGAUGGAAACAGACAGGCAAAGUGUUGUGAUGUCCUUUCAACUUCCAAGUGUCUUCCUAGUGGCUCUUUCUGUGAUACAGAAGAAUUUUGACUAAAUGAAGUCAUUAAGUGUAAACUGUAAAAGCAAAGAUAGAGAUGUAUCUGGGUACAUUUGCACUCUUAUUCAUGAUUGUUAAGCAGCAUGUUAAACCUUCUUAUACAUCAGUUUGUGUAUCUGUGCAGCAGUCUUGAUGUUUUAUUCCUCAUUUGUGCCAUAAUUUCAGGAGUCCUUCAUGCCAAGGUAGACACUGAUCUUACUGCAUGUCAGAAUCACAAAAUAUAUGAGAGAGCUGGAAUAAUAAGAAUGUGUGUUUUCUGAAAAAGUAGAAGGUUUCUGGAGGAGGAGUUUUCCCAAAGGGAGCUAAGUUUACAGAUCUAACUCAUUCAGGCCUUUUUCCUUCUGAAGUUGACGCACACAUGCACAAACACACAAGCUCCAGUAUCUAUUUCAUGGACACAUUCUUCCCAUCUCACUGUGUAAAGGUCUUGAAAGCAAUAGCUACUGGCAGUACCCCAAUUCAACAUAUCUAAUAGGUCCUUCCCAGUUUCAAAAUCACUAAGGACACACAUGGCCAAAUGAAAGCAGGGCUUAAACUACCUUGCUGUCAGAAGCAAUGGAACUAGCUGCCUGUCCUUGUAGGCUUGAUUUGUGGGUUCUUUGUUUUUGUAGUCUUGGUUUGCUGACUGCAUCUCAAGAACUGUGUUGCUAGAGCAACUUAGUUAAUCUAACUCCUGGAAGUAACUCCAACUCCAACUGUUGAAUGCAGGACUUUUCAAAAUCUAAUAAUACACUGCAGUGGGUUUUCUUUGUUUCCCAAAUUUUAUGGAUUAAUAUGUUCCAGGUGGAAGGAAAAAGAAUAAAAUUAAAUAUUUGUAAACUACCUCUGACUCAGUGGAUCUGCUCAGAUUUAGGAGGGCAUGGCCUGCCUACAUACUUAGAGAAGAUAUUUUGGAUGAGCAUAAAAUGGCCUUACUGUACUGAUUUAAACACAGCAUUUCCAAUUUACAUCACCUCAGUGUUUGAACCUGAUGUUACAUUUGCAGACAUUUAACCAAGAAGGGACACUGCCUCUCUUCAGCUCCACAUUUGACCGUUUCAGUGUUUGCAUGUGAUUGUGUGUGUACAGAGAUGUGGAAGUACAUGUAUGAUCACAAAAUAGCUAUGCUUUGCCAUGUUUUCCUGUCUGCUUGUGUGGGAAAUCUUAGUGCCAGUAACUAUCAGAGAAAACUUUUUGAUGCAAACAACCGCUGGAGAAAAAAUAUUCCCCCAAAGUGGUCCUUGUGGUUUGCACCUGGUCAGCACACUGUGAAUCUCCAGGCUAACUGGAACAGAGUUCCUUACUGGCUGACAUGCAUUUCCCAGGCCUAAAUUUGUGUUGGAGGAGGUUUUUUUUUUAUUUUGUUGGUAAGUUUGUUUUUUAUGUUGCUGUCCCUCCUUGCAAUUGUCACACUGCUGCUCAUACUUCCCAUCCUAGAGGAACUCUGUCCAGGCUUUAUCUUAGUGGUUUGUAUUCCUGUGGUCAGCACAACAGUUCAGGCUUAUUCUUUUCAACAAAAUUAAUUAUUGUUAGGUUAUCUGGGACUUUGACUCAGAGACUGUAUUCCACUAAUAAGCAUAAUUUUGAAGAGCUUGUGCUUAAAAAGAGUUGUUAUCUACUGCUUACUGGCAGGUUUUGAAUCUUACAUCCCUGUUGAGAUUGAUUUCCUUUACAUGCCUAAUUACUGAUGACACAGUUAGAUAUAGGCUAAAGAGAUAUCUUGCAACUGGAAAAAAAAAGGAAGAAAAAAAGCUUUAAGCCAAGUUCUCUUUGACUUAAACAGAAGGAGGCUUCAUUUUAUUUCAUUUAGUAAAGUCAUCAUGGAAGGGUCCUCCCCCAAGAACUCUCAGCAAUAUGAGGAGUGUGUACAAAACAAGUCCAGACAUCAAACAGGGCAACUCCCAAAAUGUCUCUGCAUUUGUAAACAUGCAUCACAUCUGCUCAGCUUGGCUGUGAGUAUGAAACAUAAAACUUGGGAUAUCUGUCUUAUUAAUUUAAAUGGAUGCUAAUUCAGGCUGUGGCUUGAGGAGAUGAAGGAUGCAGCUGCAGCUGGCUUGAAAAAAUGUUUCAAGAAAAAAAAAAAAGAGACCCUGAAAAAUUAAACAUGUUUUUAUUAAAAUAAAAGGGGAUCAGUUGCCUGAUCUGAUUUGUAGUGUACCCCUAGGUAGGCUAUUUGGAAGAACUGCCUAAGCACUGCUAACACUGUUGUUAACCUUUUGUUGGGAUCAAACAACAAUCUUUGAUCCAAAGGAUGUUCACUGAUGAUAAAAACAUGGAGUGAAAGAGAAAAGCUUCUGUGGCAUUGAGAUAUGUUUCUUUAAUCCAUAGUAUGUGUGAAAAUGGCGGGGGGGAGCCUUUAUUGGGAGGUAUAUUGGAGCUUUAUAACCACCACAACCAUGGACUGGGCUGCUUCAGAAGGUGCACUUUUCCAAACACCAGUAGAAAAGCUUGCAGUGAGAAUGGACACAUAGGAGUUUGUAUGGAUGUAGAGUGGCACAGCUUAUCCUUAAGUUAGAAAUAUUUAUGUAAGUAUAAACAAAUAUUUUUAAAAAAAUCCAUAAAUAAAUAAAAAUAUUAUAGGAAUAUAUUUUACUUAGUCAGUAAAGUUUUAUACCAAUAUAGGUGCCUGUGCAACAGGGAUAGUACUCUUAGAGACUACAUAAACUAAACCAAUACAUAUUUGAUGCAUACUUAUAUAUGCAUAAUUAUAUUUGAUAGAUAAUUAUAACAUGGAGAGUGUAUGGAGAUCAAGCCUGAGAUGUGGUGCAAAGUGAGUGGCCCAAGGUGACCUUCAUUUAUGGUCAGGCACUAUAUGAGGCUCCUGGUUUAAAUGUUACCAUAAUAUUGUAGUCACUACACUCCUGGCUUUGGACAUGUUGGUCCAAAGUUGCUGGAAGAAUGUUUUGGCUGCAGUUGCUGGAUGAAUGUUUUGCCCUACCCCUCCUCUGCAAGUUACAUCUCAAAGAUUUUACUGGCAGAGCUGCUGAUCCGACUUGUCUCAUGCAGCUCUGCUAAAAUAUCUACCUGCACAUCUGACUGUGAAGAAGGUGUCUGUCCAUAGCCACGGGCUUUUGAUUUGAGGCAAAUGUACUGAGUACAAGAAUGAGGUGAUCAAGACUGCUCUGCGCUUCCAAGAGUUUGGCGAUCUGGAAUUUAUUUACAAAUUCAUUGAAUCCAUAAAUACAAGCACAGUUAUCAUGCCAUCAUUGGACUACUUUCACACACUGGUUAGUGUAAAUAUUGUCUCUCUUCCCUCAUGUCAAUAUCUAGUCAGACGCACCAGCCAGGCACACUCUUUUCCAUGCAAAAUGGUCUUUGUAGAAAGAAUUUACACAAUUUUUGAUGGAGAGACAGCAAAUAUGUCACUAGUUAAACAUGGAAAACACUAUUUUGGGAGUACUGCAACCUCCUGGAAAAUGUUGGGCUUCACACUGCAGAUGCCAAAUGCCAUGUAGUGUGAACUCUGUGUGGAUGUUGGUGAGGAAGAAAAGGGAAAGUAAGGCAUGUCCUAACGCAGAAAGUGAAGUCUGCUUCUUAAGGGUGCAAAAAUGCCCUGACCUUUUGCCUUUGGCAAAACCUCACUUUAUACGUGUUCUGUGGCCUGUGUCACUUGGCCAUGUCCCAGGCUCACCUCUAAAAUGUCUAUUAUUUCAGCAAUGGGGUGUGUGCAAGUGUCCUGGAUGAUUAUUCAUGUGACAGCAGUACCCAGAGCCUUUAGCCAGGACUGUAGCCCUUCGUGUUAGGCACAGAGGAAGUACACUGGCAGUCUCACUCUGAACAUCUCCUGGUCUAGAAAGACUGGCAAAAGAGGAGGAAAGGAAAGAGAAGCAGCAGAAAAAAAAUCAUCCAGGGUUGCACAGUGUGGAAACAAGGCAGCAGAGGUUCCUGCUAAUGGGUGGUUGCUGUUUCCUUGCCUUCUCAGCACCCAGUGUUGUGUCACUUAAUGCAGCAGAAAAUAACUUUUGGGUCAUGUCUAGGCACAGGGCUUUUGCAAUGCAGCUCUACUGACUUUUUUCGUGCUGUGACAACCUAAGAGCAUUUCUCAUCCUGUAUGACUGCUGUGCCCUGCUGCCAGAGUGACUGUCCUGAUGCCUGAGUGACAAACAGUUGCAGCAGCUAAGUUUUCACCAUGGAACCUGUGGCUAAAGGAGAGAUCCAGCAAGAAGGAGAAUGAAGGCUUGUGCUUCUGCCAGUUCACUCGCUACUUAGCCCUGGGAGGCAGCUGAUGCCGGCCGGCUGGCUGCCAAGCAGGUCAGGCCUCUGCAGCUGAAACUGCCCGAGAUUCCAGAGCGGGAUGAUGAAUCAGCUGCGUCCUUUAGGGCACAUCCUCUCUUGGACGUGCUGCUGGGAUGUCGUGUCUCUCCGCCGCUUCCCCGUGGUGAGAGUGUGCUCAGAGCUGCUGGCUGAUGACACUGGGUGGGUUGAUGAGUUUGGUUUAACUCUUCCUCCUCCCCCUCAUAAACCGGCUUCGCCUCCUGGUGACGAUAGCAGCUCUAGAUGUCUCAGCGGAGGAGAAGUGCCAGGCUUUGAAGGAAAUGAUGCCUUGUUUGCAUUUGCCUUCUUUUAAAAGCACAAUAAGACAGCUUUGGCUUGAGUGCCCUGAAGGCAGGAGUUCUGAGUAAGGACAGGCUGGUUUUCACUGUGUCCACCCCUGCUCCCAAAAAAAGCCUUGACUCUUGGGCUUGCUGAGUGCAGCUGCUGCAGACCGGAGGCUGCUGUGCCCAGGCUGCCUCAUGCCUGAUGACUCUCACGGCAUAAGAGAUUUUCCUUUUCCAACCUUUAAAAGUUCUUGGGUGUGUUUACACUUCAUUGCUUGUUCAUCCCUGAGGAGAUUUUGCUGGGUAAAGUCCUCCAAAUGUGGAGGGCUGUCCUGUCACUGUUAUGCACUGAAACAAGGUAAUGGUUAUCAGGCACUGGGGAUGGUGAUUAAGAAGCUGACUGUUGUAUUUAUUACCAUCUCCUCCCACAAGCUCCUGCCUUGCUUGUUUGCUUCUGAGGCCUGACUGUACUGCUGUUUGUUGGGAGAACACUGCUCUUUUCCAAGAUGUUUGGUUUUAAAACAAUCAGAAUGUCCCCAGGGUGUUUGGAAGGGGAUGUGCUGUGUCACGAAAGAGUGUUCCCCAUGGAAGGAUUUUUUCCAAGUGACAGGUCAGUUGGGCAGUAAACAUGCAAAGGAGGAUCACCAUUACAAAUGUAAAAGAGCAGAGAAGAGCUGACCCCAACUCUGAGGCAAAGAAACAAGAGAGUGUCUGGACUUCCCUAAAUGCAGGUGCUGCUCCUCACUCUUGGUACCCUUUUGAACAUCAUGUAGAUAAUUUUCUGAGAUUGACAUUAACCUCUUUUCAUAAGCAUGCACAAGCACCAAAUGUUAAAACACACUUCAGGGCUGGAUGGAAAAUUUCUGACCAUGGUUUGCUGUCAGGAAAUGCUGGUUCAGCAGAAGGAAAAAGAUGUCAACUUCAACAGUAAAAAAAAUAUCAGAAAUAAACAAAAAAAUAUGAUACCAAUGACAAAACUCUCCUGGGGGCUUUUUGAAGCAGUGAGGUUUAUUUUUCAGUGCCCUGUUUUUAUUGUUCAUUGACAUGUGGGAUAAAUACAGCCAGAGCAGAGGCUGCACCAUCUUUUUCGCUGUGGUUUUGCUCAGUAUAUUGUGGGUAACAGCUUCUGCAUACCCAACACAUCCUUCCCAGUGCCUACCUGCAAUAACACAGGUACAAACAGUGCAGGUAAAGCAGGAGGAACUUCUUCUGACGUACCAUCUUUCUUAAGGGAGAGCAAAGUGCCUCUGUGAAGCACAAAACUCCCAUGGAGGCAUGCUGGGAUCUGUCUCGGAGGUGGAUUAUCUCCUUCACACCUGCACUUCUGGCCAUGGGGGUUAACUGGUGACCUAGUAAAACCAUUGGCUCUCCUCAGAUCUUGACAUACUCCUUAUUUAUGUAGCUGCAGCUACUUAUGUCUGGUAAUUCUAAAAAUGGCAUUCUUCCUG